CCUACGGGUGGCAGCAGUAGGGAAUAUUGCUCAAUGGGCGAAACCCUGAAGCAGCAAUGCCGCGUGGAGGAUGAAGGUCUUCGGGUUGUAAAGUCCUUUUGUUGGGGAAGAUAAUGGUGAUAUCUAACGAAUAAGCACCGGCUAACUCCGUGCCAGCAGCCACCGGAAUACGGAGGGUGCAAGGGUUACGCGGAAUUAAUGGGCGUAAAGAGCACGUAGGCGGGAUAGCAAGUCAGAUGUGAAAUCCUAUGGCUUAACCAGAGAACUGCAUGUGAAACUGGAAAUCUAGAGUAUGGGAGAGGUAGGUAGAAUGCGUGGUGUAGCGGUAAAAUGCGUAGAGAUCAAGAGGAAUACUGAUGGCGAAGGCGACCUCCUAGACCAUAACUGACGCUGAGGUGCGAAAGCGUGGGGAGCAAACAGGAUUAGAUACCCCAGUAGUC
rnacentral:rRNA from 1 species